rnacentral:lncRNA from 1 species
UCCCAACUAAUACUGAUUAGGAUCCAUUUAGUUCAACCAAAAAUAGUGAAAAAUAAUUUUUUGUUAAAAAAAUUCAAUAGAAAAAAUAUUUUACGUUUUGUAAUGUUUGAUUUGUAAGAAACAAAAUAGUUUUUCAUUAAUAUUUGUUUGGUUGGAAGAAAAAAAAUCCACAUUUAUUUAGUUUAGUAGAAAAAAUAAAUGAAAAAAAUUUUACGCAGCUUGAGUUUUUAUUUUCUACUGAAAAAUAGCUAAGAUUGAAAACUUCAAUAUUUUUCAAAUGGGUAAUAGUAUUUUUACGAAAAAUAUUUUUACUUAGAAUUAAACAAGCGAAAAAAUAUU